AGACCAAACAACCUCCCGGUGCCUCGCCUGCUGUGGGUGAGGCCUCCUUCCCGGGCUCAGGCCUGCAGGCUCUGCCCAAGCACUGCCCCCUUGCUUCCUCCAUGAUGUUCUGUUUGUUGAGCGAAUUAUUUUCUUCCUGGCUCCGAGCUGGCGGCUGACACGGCUCACCCGCGCUAAUUAGCUAAGCCAGCUGGUGCGUUGGUAAGGUUUUUCUGUGCUCCUCGGUGUGUGUUUCUUUUUUUAAACAUGAUCAAUACCCUGUCCGGCUGGGCUCCCUCACACACUCCCUAUUGUUCUCCUGUUUGCAUUGUGCCUGAGUCCUGGUCAAGGACUCGGGGAGCCUCGGAAGACACGCUUUUCCCGCGGCUGGCGUUCAGCCUGGAGCCGGGGAGACACCGCGCAGCAGAUGUGGCUCGACCCCCUGCUCCGCGCCUGCAGCUUGCAGUGAUUUUCCGUAGCUGUGGACAGUGCCUCAGGAAGCCCACAUGGAUGCCAGACAGUCGGGUAAAGAUGAGAAAUUGCUGUGUGGCUCCGGGGCAGAUUGCCUUGCCUCUCUGAGCCUCUGCUUCUUUCUUUGUAAAAGAAGUCGGUUCCCAGUUCCAGUGUGAGUCUCCUACAUACUAUGAUUCUCAAAGGUUUCAAAGGGCAUCCGGAGAUGGGGGCCCUCCCCGUGAGUAGGGGUACAAGGUCACAAACAGGAUCUUGUUCACUCCUGCUGCAGUCCUGGAGUUAAACAAUAUAGACCUUUGCCAAGUGAGCUCCGGAAGAGGCCACAACCAGACAGGGGUGGGCUGAAGGCCCGACCCCCCUCCUCCAGCUGGUGCUGUCCUCCCCACAGUUCCCUGGAGUCUGCCUGCUUAUUUUGUGCAAGAGACACAAGAAGAUUCUCUGAAGCUCUCCCUUCCCCACUGUCGUUCAGCUGUAGUGAUUGGGAGCCCACAAUGUGCACUGCGGAGAAGAUAGCUCCAACAUGUUUUUAAUAUAAUUGUAGAUUUUAAAUCUGGAAGGAAUCUGACAAGUCACUUGGUUGGCUCAACCUUCCAUCUUUAGGCAAAUAGAGGAUUUGUAAUCAGAAGACCUGAAUUUGAAUCCGAGAUCUACCACUUAACACCGGUAUCUAGAACUCUGAGCAACUUGUUUGACCUUUCCCAGUCUCAUUUUCUUCAAAUGUAAGAAAAGAGUUGUAUUAACAAAUAUCUGCCCAUCUCAUAGAUUUGUUGUGAGGAUCAAACGAAGGGAUGUAAUGAAGAAGGCAGAUAGAAUUUUAUGUUAAUAUUAUUUGAUUUUUACCUGAAGAUAAAUAAGACUCAAAGAGGUUAAAUGGGUUACCCAAGAAGAAACUCCUCACCUACCAAGAUGGUAUCAGCAACUCAACAAUAUGCAGUCAAGUUUCCACCAUCAUACCCUUCCGUUUGGACUGUAGACCCAACAACUAGGAGUUGACUGAAGUAAAUGAAUGCUGGAUCCAGGCAAGAAAUUGUCAAAAUAACAAGAUUGAGGUACCAGGGUGCCAAAUGGCAGACAGACUGAAGAACUAGGAAACAAAACAAGGUCAAACUAUGAACAAACUCUCACCGUAACAGAAGUUAAUAUAUAGGUUACAUCAACCAAGUAUAGGUAUCUUAUGGUCACAGUGUUAGGAGAAAAUAAUGUUUAUCCGAUUCUGCCUACAACUGUAGAUUGAAGAAAGAACCACUUGCUUUCUAGGUUUCUUAUAAAGGGUAUUUAUUGUAUUGUCUCUGACCAGCCCUGCCUUAAGGACACUGCUCAUUCAAUAGCACCUAGCAUCCACCGUCCCCAUGUUAAAUGCAGGAGCAGUCAUUUAAAAUACUGGGUCUUCCUCUCUGGUCUCAGCCUAGAUAGGUCUAGAGACAGUCAACUGACUCAAUCUGGGCCAAUCAGGUCUCUUUCUUGAGAUUUUUGAAUUUUGCACCCAGGCUGAAGCUUUAAGGCCAAGGAGCUGUUGGCAGCUCUGUUGCUCCAUUUAUUACCAUUCCUGAGUGCCAGCCCUUGUCUUUGGACCUGGCUUUGAUACCUUUGUUCCCUCAUAGCUCCUGUCUUCACCCAAACUGAUUGCAGUGGUUCAAGCUGUCAGCCCCAUGUAUAUCCAGUAGCAUCUGAAUUCACAAGGCACACGGCUUAGUUUUCAGGGAACUAAGCUGAGAUAAGGUAAGGGAUGUUCUAUACCCCUUGCUCUUCUUGGGAAAGACCUUGAAUUCAGACCUCUUAAGGAUGCUGAGGUUCUUGGACACAAACCCUCUUUGCUUCUCCACUAUGACAGCUUCCUACCCCUCCCAACUCCCGUAUCUUUAUGAGCUACUAAUUCUUCUUAGUACCUACAAUCUCACUGUAAUGAGACAUGGUCUUGGGAAGCAAUGAGUCUCUUUUGUGCUAAGAAGUAAAUAUUCUCGAAUGUGAUGAUUUGUACUCAGGGUGUUGGGAAGUGGGGAGCGAUAUGUUUAAAAUUUCUAGAGGGCAUUCUCUUGAGUAAAAAAAUGCACACGCAAUAUAUCAAUUGUUUUCAUAAUCUAAAACAUAGAAACAACUCAAUGUAACAGUUUUGUCUGGUUUUAGAUAUGCAGUAGUGUGAGAUUACAUUGAGGCGCAGAUUACAAAAUGAUUGAGAACCAUUUCAGAUUUUCUUAACCAUUUUUAAUAAGGUUUAACUUACAUGCAGUAAAGUAAACAGGUAAUAAGUGUAUAGCCCAGUGAAUUUAGUACAUAUGUAUACACCUGUAUAACUACCACCCAGAUCAAAAUUUAGAACAUUUCCAAUACCCUAGAGGGCUUCCUCAUAUCUCCUCCCAGUCAAUAACCACCACCUCCAAGAUAACCAUUCUGACCUCUAAUUAUCAUAGAUAACUUUUGCAUGUCUUGGAAUUUCAUAUAAAUGUAAUCAUACACUACAUACUCUUUUGUAUCUGCCAUCUUUUGUUUGACAUUUUAAAUGUUAAAUUCAUCCAUAUUGUAUGAAUAGUACUUUGUCCUUUUUCAUUGCUGCAUUAACGCAAAUGCAAUCGAAUCAUUGAAUAAACAUGCCUGUAAUUUAUUUGCCUAUUUUACUGUUGAUAGACAUUUGGGCAAUUUUUAGUUUAGGCCUAUAGGAAUAAGGUUGCCAUGAACAUUCUUGUACAUGUCUUUGGUAGACACAAGCACUUUUUGUUGGAUAUAAACUCCAGUGAGUCAUACAGCAUAGGUAUCGUUAGCUUCAGCAGAGACUGCCAAGUAGUUUUCCAAAGAAGUUGUAUCCACUCCACAAUUUAAACAGUUUGUUUACCAAAUAGCCACUGAGUACCUAUUAUGAGCCAGCCACUCCACUAGGCAUUGGGAAUACUGAGAGGAAGCAUGCACGUCCAUGGCCUAGAAGCGCUAAUAGCCUGGUAAUAUCAACAGAUACUUUUUAAAUAAUAUGGUAAGUGAUAGGUGAGAGGUGUGCCUGACAGGAGGAUCCUUUGGGGCUCUAAGGUUAGAUUCCCCGACUCCAGGUGACCAAAUGGAAGCUUGGCCAGGUAAAGAAGGGAUGGCAUUCGAGGAGAAGGUUGCAGAGGCUCCUCUAGCCCCUGCCAAGCCCUGCAGGCUCUUCUCUGGCUGGGAGUCUCAUUAAUGGAGCAGCCAGGCCCAGGCCAGGCUGUCAGGAGCGAACAAACGGCUGCCAACAUGAGCAAUGAUUUAAAGGAGAAGGUUAAGACGUCGGUGAGAUGAAUACCAUUGACUUCGCUGCCAUCCUGGAAGCAAUUCAUCAGGGCGGCUUGGCAAAGAGGGGCAUAAAUCCCUAGCCAGCGAGGCCAAGCAGGGCUCUGGGAGGAGGAACAGGAUGUGAUGGCAGCUUCCAGAGCUGUCUCCAGCUGGGCCUGUGCCAGCAUUUUGAAAAGCGUCAGUUGGGAGGAAUCCCCAGAAGAUGACUUUGUAGCUAGGGUCCCUCCUGUCCUGAGUCGUGGGUCACCGAGGAGGACACCCUCCCUAGUCACUUGCUGUUUGUGCUUCCCAUUCUGUGCACCCACUGGAGGUUUUUCUUGAAGCAGGCUCUGCAUUGCCUUCUCCUUCUCUUCAGCCUGAAUCUUGGCACUCCUGGAGACUCUUGGUUCAAAUGAUGUAUUUAUUUUCUUAACGAAAGGGAAAGAUUUAAGAGUGGGUGUGAAAUGCAUCCUCCUCCCUCCUCUGACCCUCCCACGUACUUCCUCCGGCAACCUGAGGCCCAGCUCAGCAGACACUUGGGAAGUCAACAGAAACAAACAUGGAGUGGGCAUUGCAGAGCACGUGAGUGGAUGAGAGAUUUUUAUGAGUGAAAUUUGCUCACAAGCUUCUUUAAUAAUGUUAUUCAUCUUUCUGUCAAAGUCAUCACAUUAAUGUAGCUGGAGAGAUUUAGAGGAGAUGAAUUAAGACUUAAAUACACAAAAUGACUUGGGGAAUAUUUAAAUACAAUACAUUUGAUUCUGGUGCAGCAUCCUUCCUCACGGGUGUUGCUCAUGACUCUUUCCAGGCCCACACAGCCUGGGAAUCAACAACUCCCCCUCUCCUGCCGCCUCCCUCCAAUGCUUCAUUCAUCCAACGCUUCCUGCACCUACCAUGUGUGAACUCAUUGUCUCCACAGAGCACAUAUACAAUAGCCUGGGUGCCUGUUCUGGCUUAGACAGGCCACUUUUCCUUUGGGUACCUCAGUUUCUUUAUUUGGAAAAUGGGUGGGGUUGGCUCUGAAUUUCAAAGGAUGCAGAGAUUCCUUAGAGACAGUUGCAGGGAAACAAAGGGAGCCCAGAUGCAGAGUCAUGGACCCUCUCCCAUCCCUUCAUCACAGUUCAUUGCUAUCUACCUGUACGUACUGGAAGUUGUGUAUUAUUUUAUUUAAAAUAAAAACGCUUUGGCUUUAAA
rnacentral:lncRNA from 10 species